rnacentral:lncRNA from 1 species
GCCUCAUCCAAAAUUUUAAACUUCGUUUGAUAAACAUACAUACCGAAUACUUAUGUUUAGAUACAUAUACAUAUGAAUCAACCAUAUAAGGAUGUUGUGCCACAAAAUAACUUAUGUUUCUAAAUGUGCCACAACCAAAAUGAUCAUACAGUGGCUUAUGUGCCAAAACAAUCACCUAAAUGAGUACAGUAAUACUUGCCACCAUCUCCAGGUUCAACAAACAAGUCAUAAUACAUUAUAACAACAGCAACUUAAUUGUAGGUCUUCCAAACCUCCAGCUCCAACUUGUAGAUCUUCCAAACCUCGAUCAACUUGUGUAUCUUUGGGAAAUCUGCAACAAGUCGGAAACUCAAGCUACAUAGGCAUUAAUAAUUUCCACGAGAUAAUGAACAUUUCGAGACCUUAUCAUCUCAUUAUAUCUUCUAACACUCUAUUCUUCUUCCAUCACCCACACUGCCGUUGCAUCUUUUAAUCUAUUGUCCAUGUCACUUUCUCCUGCCUUUUGUCAUUCUUUUUUCCGAAGAUAUGCACCCUCACACAAAAGCCUGAUUAAGAAAAUUGCACAAGAAUACCACUCAUACUUAUCUUAACAAAGAUAAACAGAACUAUGGAAAGCACACAAAAAUAUGAGACGAUGGCUGCAGGUCAGAUAUAAUUCAGACUUGCUGUUGUCAUCACUCCAAGAAAUAUUUGAACAAGCUAAAUGGCGUAAAUGCAUUAACAAAUUCUGUCUCUUCCUUUUACUGAUAAUUUUAAUAAAAAACUAAAUAUUUGCACUCAGUUCAAUUGCAUGACAUCCCACUCCAUUUUCUCAAUAAUUGCAUUGUUUAUAUAGCAACCAAAGGUGUGGCAGUGGCAGUCCCACUCAAUAUAAAAUGUAGUGUCGCUUUCAAAGCAAGUCGUUUUACUAGCAUGUUUUCAGACUUCAGUGUGUAUAUAUAUCUUAUAUCAAGAUUAUUACGAUUAGUUAUCAAUACACAAAUGUUGACACUUCAGUACAUUCAGGAUGAAUAGAAAAUAAGGUCAACCAAUUUUUACACACGAGAUCCUUCCCUUUUGAAAUAGCCCCCAGUUAAGAAGAGAAAGUAUAUGUAUUAGGAAAAAAAUACGUAAAGAGCGGCUACCGCACAUGUAUACCUUUGCUGCUGAGCCCCACCAUCAGUUCAUAAAAAAGGAUUUCCUGAGAGAAAAUUGAACAGAUAUAAGUACAGUAAAGUUCACUUGUGUUCCUCUCACAAAUUACUUGUGUUAACCAGUGUGAUGACUUAGUGUCUCCAAUCAUGUAGAUCCUAAUUAAUAGUGUUGAAAAUCAGAUUAUGUGUGAAGAGAGGUGUUACUACUAAUGGAAAAAUUUGUUAUCAAGCUUUUGUUUCUUUAUUCAUUUGCAAGAUUGUUGUUUCCUUCUUUUUCCCAGGAGUGCUCUUUACAUGUUCCUUGUUAGGACAGCAGAUUCCUUCAAAAGGGUCUAGCCUCAUUCUUCUUUUCUAGUUAUUCUACUCCCUUAUUGUUUUCAAGUGGCAAAAUAGAAUAUCAUAUAUAAAAUGUAAGAUGAUGAAUAUUUGCUAAGAAACAUUGUGGCCAAAGGUAGGCACAAAUAGCAAAGUUUCAGCUCUCCAAGCUCAUGAACAGGAAGAGGUACAAAGGCGAUGGUCGCUGGCGGUCUGGUAGCAGGAAAAGAAAAUCGAACCAAGAAGUUGGGCAAAAGCUCACACCAAAAAAUCUAACAUCCUCACCUCCACUGAGCACAGGAGUGCCACGGGAAAGAUGAGGAGAUUUCACCAUGACAGAUCUGAGCAGCGUGUUGUCCAACGUAGGGAGGAGCAGGCACCGCUCAUGCCGACGCGGUGGAGGGAGCAGUGGUAGGGAGCUCACCCGUGCUCAUCGGCUUGGAGGGCCAUGGAGAAGUGGAGCGCGCCAGCGUGGUGGUGGCGCGAUGACCCUGAGAUGGCAGAGGUGCCAAGAACACUGAUUCAUCUCGUGCUUGUCGUCGCCGUGCCCACAGUAUCAUGGGGAAGGCUCGAUUUUCGCCGCGGGAUCUGGUCCUGGAAAGGGAGACUACGUUGACUUCGGCCUCGCCACACCGGUGCAGUUGACCCGCCCGGUGGCGGUGACGAAGGAAGGCAACGAUGAGUCGACGGGCGUGUACCCCGAUGGGGUUGCACAGGUUGGUGGACGAGGUCGAGGGCGGAGGGCAGAUGGGGGUGGCGGCGGCGGCGGCGGCGGCGUUGGUCUGGGAGGAGGACUUGUGGACGAGGGUUCGAUGUGGGGUGGAUCUGGUUCGAGGCCUGUUAUUCGUUUGGCGCACAAAUUUUGGGCCUCUCGCGUGG